rnacentral:rRNA from 1 species
AACGAACGCUGGCGGCAGGCCUAACACAUGCAAGUCGAACGCCGUAGCAAUACGGAGUGGCAGACGGGUGAGUAACACGUGGGAACGUACCCUUCGGUUCAGAAUAACUCAGGGAAACUUGAGCUAAUACCGGAUACGUCCGAGAGGAGAAAGAUUUAUCGCCGAGGGAUCGGCCCGCGUCUGAUUAGCUUGUUGGUGAGGUAACGGCUCACCAAGGCGACGAUCAGUAGCUGGCUGAGAGGAUGAUCAGCCACAUUGGGACUGAGACACGGCCCAAACUCCUACGGGAGGCAGCAGUGGGGAAUAUUGGACAAUGGGCGCAAGCCUGAUCCAGCCAUGCCGCGUGAGUGAUGAAGGCCCUAGGGUUGUAAAGCUCUUUUACCCGGGAAGAUAA